CGCGCGCGCCUCCCUUGCUCCGCAGCGCUCACGCUCGCGCGCAAUUCCCUCUCGCCGGCUAGCCUUCAGCCGCCGACGUCUCGGCCCCUCAGAAAGCCGGUCGCGCCAUGUCUUCGCCUCCCGCGGGAAAGCUAGAGACGAAAGCAGGACACCCGCCCGCCGUGAAAGCUGGUGGGAUGCGAAUUGUGCAGAAACAUCCGCACUCUGGAGAUGCCAAGGAAGAGAAGGACAAGGACGACCAGGAGUGGGAAAGCCCCAGAAGCCCCAUGCCUCCAUAGACAAGCAUCCAUGCCCGAGAACCCAGCACAUCCAGCAGCCUCGCAAGUGAUCGGCGAGCACCCACCACCCACCCUAGCCUCGGUUCCCUGACACUUGGUAUUUCCCAACAAAGAGGACUGGCAUCUUCUUCAAAACACUUCCCCGUGGAGAAAUCCAAGACAAAGCAAAACUCCCCUUCCGUUGCCUUAAAUUUCCACAUCUAACACUAGAAUCAGACCCCAAACCUUGUUUGCAGGGAGUCCUGGCUGGUGUCACUUGAGGGUCCUUGGGCCUCUUACAAGUGCCAUUAGCAGAACUUACCGGACCUGAGUGAAAUGAGCUUGUUCAGAGUUUAGCUUUGUUCCCAUUCAUCGGCUGCCCUGUCAGUGGACUUAAAAACAAGCGGGCACAGAUUUUGGAGGGUUAGAGGAAGGUCAGGGGAAAGCUCAGUCAUUUCAUGCUUUUUGGUAAGAGGACCAUAACGUCUUAACACCUAGUGGGCAGAGAAAGAGAUGAAGGCAUUGAUUACAGGAAGGCUGAGCAGGGGAGACUUUUGAAACAGGCAACAGCAUCGCUGUAUUUCCCUCCCUUGUGUGACAAGGGAUCACAGCACAGGAGACACCAAGCACUCACAGAAAGGCCACGGAAAAGCUCACAGCUUUGAAAUGGCUCUUCUUUCCCAGGAGUCAUCUUGCUGAAAAUUUUGCCUAAACCAGAUCUGUCAGUGCGGGUCCCAAGUCCAGCACAGCCCCACCAUCCACAAUGGGUUUGUAGGAAAUCAAGGAAAACCUUCCUUCUUCAAGCAUCACCUCCAGAGCUGUCUUCAGGUUCUGGCCGUGAUCACUGACCAGGUGACACAUAGCUAGUCUUGGAACCCUAGAGCAAAAGCCGUUAACGUCCGUGGAAAGACCAGAUGAAAACCUGCCCUUUGCCUCCCUAGGGAAAAGCAGAACACCAUGUGCCAUUUGAGCUACAAAAGCCUGUUUGUCAACCAGUCAAAGUGUCCAGAUUCCCUCUGCCCAAGGGCCCCGUUGCCUGGGCCCAUGUUCACUUGCCAUCUCAAACCGUCUAGCACUUUCUGUCCACAUGUCCUGCCCAGAGCCACCCUAGACUGCCCACUGGCUCAUAGCUACCAUAUGCCUUGCUUUUCUGAAAAGCCAAAGGGCUCAUUUAUUUACUCAGAGGUUCAAAUCUCCCAGAGCAGAUGCUUUGAGAGAAGGUGCAGCCUGGCAGUCCCGCUUGCCGGAGUGGUGUUUGCUGCAGCUGGGCACACACACCACAGUCCUUGUGAUGCCUUCUCCAGGUCCACAGCCAUGACUGGUAAGAGUGCCAGAGGCCAGGAGACCCAGCUCUCAUCCUUCCCUAAGGGAAAAGCCAGCACUUCUUCACAUCCUAAAAGUAAUGUUUGGUUUCCCAUCUCAUUGAUGUGGGAGCCGGGGUCUUACCCUGCAAGCGCUGUAUAGUCACGUCUCCUAGUCCUUAAUUGCUAAGAUGCUGCCAUACUCUGGGGCUGGCUUGUGGAGAUGCAGGCUAGAUGGGCAGCCACCUCCUGGAGGCAGCAUCUCUGAAGGAUGCUGAGAGCAGACAGCACCAGGUCAGGUCUGUGGACCACUACACCCUCUGCUGCAGAAAUGAAGACACGUCCUCGAUGCUUUUUAGUGUUGCAGCCAGGAUCAACUCGCUACUCCCCAUGGUGCAUCUUUCACGUCCUUUUUGCUACAUCUGGCAUGGAGCUGUGUGUUGUAGAAUCACUGAACGCAAAAGGUUCUCCUGGAUGAGUUUAUCUGUAGUUAACUUUUAAGAAUAAUAAUGGUGAUAAUAAAGCUC
rnacentral:lncRNA from 1 species